AAUCAAGUAAGUUAGCGUCCAAGGUGGAUGCUUAGGCGUUGAGAGCCGAUGAAAGACGUGGCAUAGCUGCGAUAAGCCUCGGGGAGCCGUUAAGCAGGCUUUGAUCCGGGGAUGUCUUAGAUGCGGUAACGCGGCCUGGGUAAUACCAGGUCAGCCCACGGUGAAUACAUAACCGUGUGGUGGGUAACGAGGGGAAUUGAAACAUCUUAGUACCCUCAGGAAAGUAAAGAAAAAUCGACUCCCUCAGUAGCGGCGAGCGAACGGGGAACAGCCCAAACCAUCGAUGUGCCAAGGUUGUGGCCGUUGCAUCGGUGGCGUCGUGGGACUUCCAGGCGUGACCACAAAAGCGCCAAGAAGUUACAAAACCAACAUUUAGCAGAAGGUUCUGGAAAGGACCGCCGCAGAGAGUGAAAGCCUCGUAAGCGAAAGGUGUUGGACUUCUGGAAGGAUCCCAAGUAGCGCCAGACACGUGAAACCUGGUGUGAAUCUAGGGGGACCACCCCCUAAGGCUAAGUACUACUCAACGACCGAUAGCGACAGUAGCGUAAGCGAAAAGUGAAAAGUUCCCCUGUAAGGGGAGUGAAAAGUACCUGAAACCAUGGACGUACAAGCGGUCGGAGGCCUAUGCCCCUCGGGGAAUGGCUGACGGCGUGCCUUUUGCAUAAUGACCCGACGACUUACGGUACAAGGCGAGGUUAAGGACUUCCGGUCCGAAGCCGAAGCGAAAGCGAGUGCGAAUAGCGCGUCUAGUCUGGUGCCGUAGACCCGAAAGCAGGUGAUCUAGCCAUGAGCAGGGUGAAGCGCGUGUAACAACGCGUGGAGGCCCGAACCGGUGUAGGUUGAAAACUACUCGGAUGACUUGUGGCUAGGAGUAAAAAGCUAAUCGAACCUGCAGAUAGCUGGUUCUCCCCGAAAUAGCUUUCGGGCUAGCGUCUGGUAAAAUAGCAUACGGGGGUAGAGAUACUGAAUGCGAAUGGGGGGCUACCCGCCUACCCACCGCAACCAAACUCCGAAUACCGUAUGUGGUACCCAGGCAGUCAGACAGUGGGCGAUAAGGUUCAUUGUCGAGAGGGAAACAGCCCAGAUCGCCAGCUAAGGUCCCCAAGCAAGUUUAAGUGUUGUAAAGGAACUGAAAUCACAAAGACAGCCAGGAUGUUGGCUUAGAAGCAGCCAUCAUUUAAAGAGUGCGUAAUAGCUCACUGGUCGAGUGGUUUUGGGCCGAUAAUGAACGGGACUCAAAUCUUGCACCGAAGCUGCGACUGCAUGAAACAUGUGUUUCAUGCGGGGUAGGGGAGCGUUGGUUUUGCUUUGAAGCCGUACGGUAACGAGCGGUGGAGCGGAACCAAGUGCUUAUGUCGGGAUGAGUAACGAUAAACAGGGUGAGAAUCCCUGUCGCCGAAAACCUAAGGUUUCCUGGGCAAGGUAAAUCCGCCCAGGGUUAGUCGGAUCCUAAGGCGAGGCCGAAAGGCGUAGUCGAUGGGUAACAGGUCAACAUUCCUGUACUGCCGGCGAACGUUUGACCGAUGGGGUGACGGAUUCUUGAAAGUAGUCGCGGUGUUAGUUAUCCGCGUACAAGCCUGAGGGACGCUGUUGGUAAAUCCGCAGCAUUAGUUCCUAGGGGUGAUGUCGAGGCCUUGAGCCGAAGCUACUGGAGAGGGUUCCUGGAAAAACCUCUAGGGAGUUCAAUGGUAUCCGUACCAAAACUGACACAGGUUGGUGAGGAGAGAAUCCUAAGGCGCUCGAGAUAACCUCUGUUAAGGAACUCGACAGAUUGGUCCCGUAAGUUCGCGAGAAGGGACGCCCCUAUUGGUGAAGGCACUUGCUGCCGGAGCUUUUGGGGGUCACAGAAAAUCGGGAGUGGCGACUGUUUACCUAAAACACAGGACUCUGCUAAGCCCUAAAGGCGACGUAUAGAGUCUGACGCUUGCCCAAUGCCGGAAGGUUAAGAGGAGGUGUUAGCUUCGGCGAAGCUCCGAAUUGAAGCCCCGGUGAAUGGCGGCCGUAACUAUGACGGUCCUAAGGUAGCGAAGUUCCUUGUCGGGUAAGUUCCGACGUGCACGAAUAGCGUAACGACUGCUCCAUUGUCUCAACAGAGGGCUCGGUGAAAUUGUAGUCGAGGUGAAGAUGCCUCGUAGCCGCACCAAGACGGAAAGACCCCGUGAACCUUUACUGUAGCCUGAUAUUGGGCCCUGGUGCAUCAUGUGUAGGAUAGGUGGGAGGCUUUGAAGCGGAUACGCCAGUGUUCGUGGAGCCUUUGGUGAAAUACCACCCUUGAUGUACUAGUGUUCUAACCCGGUGCCUUGAAUCAGGGCCGGGAACAGUUUCAGGUGGGCAGUUUGGCUGGGGCGGUCUCCUCCCAAAAAGUAGCGGAGGAGCCCCAUGGCACCCUCAGAAUGGUUGGCAAUCAUUCGUAGAGCGUAAGGGUAUAAGGGUGCUUGACUGUGAGACUAAUAAGUCGAGCAGGUGUGAAAGCAGGGCCUAGUGAUCCGGCGAAUUCCGAGUGGAAGGGUCGUCGCUCAUCAGAUAAAAGGUACUCCGGGGAUAACAGGCUGAUCUCCCCCAAGAGUCCACAUCGACGGGGAGGUUUGGCACCUCGAUGUCGGCUCAUCACAUCCUGGGGCUGGAGAAGGUCCCAAGGGUUUGGCUGUUCGCCAAUUAAAGUGGUACGUGAGCUGGGUUCAGACCGUCGUGAGACAGGUCGGUCCCUAUCUGGUGUGGCUGUUGGACACUUGAAGAGGUCUUUCCCUAGUACGAGAGGAUUGGGAAGGACGAAGCUCUGGUGCACCAGUUGUCUCGCUAGAGGCACAGCUGGGUAGCUAACUUCGGAACGGAUAAGCGCUGAAAGCAUCUAAGCGCGAAGCCUUCUCUGAAACUAGGUGUCCCUAUCAGGGUCCUGGGAGACUACCAGGUUGAUAGGCAGUAGCUGUAAGCAUGGCAACAUGUUCAGGCGAGCUGUACUAAUAGCCCGAACGGCUUGAUUUC
rnacentral:rRNA from 1 species